rnacentral:rRNA from 1 species
AGCAGCCGCGGUAAUUCCAGCUCCAAUAGCGUAUAUUAAAGUUGUUGCAGUUAAAAAGCUCGUAGUUGAAUUUCGGGAUCAAUGUUUCGGUCAUGCCCUUGGUAUGUACUGAUAUUAUUGGUUUCUCACCUUCCAAAGAACCGUAAUGCCAUUAAUUUGGUGUCACGGGGAAUUAGGACUGUUACCUUGAAAAAAUUAGAGUGUUUAAAGCAGGCUCACGCUUGAAUACAUUAGCAUGGAAUAAUGAAAUAGGACAUCCGAUUCUAUUUUGUUGGUUUCUAGGAUCGAUGUAAUGAUUAAUAGGGAUAGUUGGGGGCAUUAGUAUUCAAUUGUCAGAGGUGAAAUUCUUGGAUUUAUUGAAGACUAACUACUGCGAAAGCAUUUGCCAAGGAUGUUUUCAUUAAUCAAGAACGAAAGUUAGGGGAUCGAAGACGAUCAGAUACCGUCGUAGUCUUAACCAUAAACUAUGCCGACUAGGGAUCGGAUGAUGUUAAUUUUUUAAUGACUCA